GACGAACGCUGGCGGCGUGCUUAACACAUGCAAGUCGAACGGAAAGGCCCUGCUUUUGUGGGGUGCUCGAGUGGCGAACGGGUGAGUAACACGUGAGUAACCUGCCCUUGACUUUGGGAUAACUUCAGGAAACUGGGGCUAAUACCGGAUAGGAGCUCCUGCUGCAUGGUGGGGGUUGGAAAGUUUCGGCGGUUGGGGAUGGACUCGCGGCUUAUCAGCUUGUUGGUGGGGUAGUGGCUUACCAAGGCUUUGACGGGUAGCCGGCCUGAGAGGGUGACCGGCCACAUUGGGACUGAGGUACGGCCCAGACUCCUACGGGAGGCAGCAGUGGGGAAUAUUGCACAAUGGGCGGAAGCCUGAUGCAGCAACGCCGCGUGCGGGAUGACGGCCUUCGGGUUGUAAACCGCUUUCGCCUGUGACGAAGCGUGAGUGACGGUAAUGGGUAAAGAAGCACCGGCUAACUACGUGCCAGCAGCCGCGGUGAUACGUAGGGUGCGAGCGUUGUCCGGAUUUAUUGGGCGUAAAGGGCUCGUAGGUGGUUGAUCGCGUCGGAAGUGUAAUCUUGGGGCUUAACCCUGAGCGUGCUUUCGAUACGGGUUGACUUGAGGAAGGUAGGGGAGAAUGGAAUUCCUGGUGGAGCGGUGGAAUGCGCAGAUAUCAGGAGGAACACCAGUGGCGAAGGCGGUUCUCUGGGCCUUUCCUGACGCUGAGGAGCGAAAGCGUGGGGAGCGAACAGGCUUAGAUACCCUGGUAGUCCACGCUGUAAACGGUGGGUACUAGGUGUGGGGUCCAUUCCACGGGUUCCGUGCCGUAGCUAACGCUUUAAGUACCCCGCCUGGGGAGUACGGCCGCAAGGCUAAAACUCGAAGGAAUUGACGGGGCCCCGCACAAGCGGCGGAGCAUGCGGAUUAAUUCGAUGCAACGCGUAGAACCUUACCUGGGUUUGACAUGGAUCGGGAGUGCUCAGAGAUGGGUGUGCCUCUUUUGGGGUCGGUUCACAGGUGGUGCAUGGCUGUCGUCAGCUCGUGUCGUGAGAUGUUGGGUUAAGUCCCGCAACGAGCGCAACCCUUGUUCACUGUUGCCAGCACGUUAUGGUGGGGACUCAGUGGAGACCGCCGGGGUCAACUCGGAGGAAGGUGGGGAUGACGUCAAGUCAUCAUGCCCCUUAUGUCCAGGGCUUCACGCAUGCUACAAUGGCUGGUACAGAGAGUGGCGAGCCUGUGAGGGUGAGCGAAUCUCGGAAAGCCGGUCUCAGUUCGGAUUGGGGUCUGCAACUCGACCUCAUGAAGUCGGAGUCGCUAGUAAUCGCAGAUCAGCAACGCUGCGGUGAAUACGUUCCCGGGGCU
rnacentral:rRNA from 1 species